AAGUAAUUCUUAGAGCAGCUUUUAGAAAAUCCUCCAGUCUUGAUUUAAACAUUAUCAGUGAUGGAGAAUCCACCAGAAACCCUGGAAACAAUAUUUCAG